CUCCCCCUUCUGUGACCUCUGCUCCCCCCCAGGAGGACAGCCUGGAGGAAGAGGGAAUGGCUCCUGCCCUGACAGCCAGGCCCGGGAAGCUUCAGAGGCUGCAUUGAGUGCAGAAACAUCUACAAACAAAAUGUCAAACCAGCAAAACGACUUCCAGUUGAAGAAUUUACCAUUGGUGUGAUAGCUGACCUUGAUGCCAUCUUUGUCCUCAUUGAAGGUUGUUUGACAACGUGGCUGAAAGCAUCAUGCCAAAAAGAAUGAAAAGAAGCACACAGCCUUGUUUCACUCCAUUGGUGACUGGGAAAGCAUGAGAGCAUCAUCCUUUAUCCGUAAUCUGGGCAAGCAUCCCAUCAUGAAAUUGAUGUAUGAUACUGAUUAACUUCUGUGGGCAACAAAAUUCUGACAAUUUUCCAUAAGCCCUGACAACUGAGACCAUCAAAGGCCUUUGUCAGAUGUACAGCUGUAUACAGAUCUGUGUUCUGGUCUGAGCACUUCUCAUGUAGCUGUCAGGCAGCAGACACUAUACUGAAUGUUCCUUGGCCCUUUCUGAAACCACACUGGCUCUCAGGUAAAUGACCAUCUUCUAAGUAAAGGAUUAGCCUAUUAAGGAGGACCCUGGCAGAGUCUUGCCAGCAAUGACUAAGAACGAGGACCCCCUCCCCCAUCAUUGUCACAGAACAGUCUUGUUUUCCUUGACCUUUAUAGAGAGAAACAGUGGAGGCAUCCUUGAGCUUCUGGGGGAUAACCUUCUCUUGCCAUAUACCCCAGAAAGUUUCAGUCAGCUUUGGGAUGAGAACUGGACUGCUGCCUUAUAAACCUCAGCUGGAAUAGAAUUAGCACCAGGUGUUUUGCCGGGUGAAAGGAGCCUAAUGGCAUUCAAAACCUCUUCUUCAGUUGGAACUUCAGCAAGGGAGGAAUUGACUUCACACCAAGGUAAAUUGUGAAUCCCUUCAGCAUUGAUUCAUGAUGGUCUAUUGAGAACACUGUGGAAGUGUUCAACCCAUCUCUCUAGCAUCAUGUCCUUAUCACCAGUCAAUGUGGCUCCAUCAGCACUGAGUACUUGAGAUGUACCAUAGGUCUUAGCCCAUAAAUAGCCUUCAGGGCAUUAUAAAAGCACUUUGGAUUGUCACUAUCAGCAUAAAACUGAAUUUCAUCUGCCUUCCUACUGAGCCAAGAAUCUUGCCUCUCUCUAAGCUUUGCUUGUGCGUUACUUCUGAUGCUGUUUAGAUGCUGCCUUCUUAGAAAUGAUAUUAUUUCAAAUUAGAUGUUAUCCUGUUGCUAAACCCAGUAGAGUUUUUUUUCCUUUAGUAGCUUCUGAAUUUCCCCAUCAUUUUUGUGAAAGCAGUGUUGAUGUUUGUUAGUGUUCUGACCCAAAUGAAUAAAUGCAGUGCUGUGUACCAGA